rnacentral:rRNA from 1 species
UACGUAGGGGGCUAGCGUUGUCCGGAAUUAUUGGGCGUAAAGAGCGUGUAGGCGGCCGGGUAAGUCCGGUGUGAAAACUCGAGGCUUAACCUCGAGAUGUCAUCGGAAACUAUUCGGCUAGAGUCCGGAAGAGGAGAGUGGAAUUCCUGGUGUAGCAGUGAAAUGCGCAGAUAUCAGGAAGAACACCUAUGGCGAAAGCAGCUCUCUGGGACGGUACUGACGCUGAGACGCGAAAGCGUGGGGAGCGAACAGG